ACGUUGAGCCCCACGCACAAUA
rnacentral:miRNA from 1 species